AGGUUCUCAAGGCUGAACUUAUGUGGCUCUUGAGCGUAGUCAACAAAAUUGGAAAUACUAUCUUUACCGCUUGAUUUUCAUUUUGACUUAUCCAUUCCCUUCCGUAUAAUUUUGUAGUAUCUAUAACACGAUGAUAUUUCAAAUGCGAUAUCGAAUAACAAAAUUAACCCUUACUUCUGUUGCCAGAUAUUAAAAGAAAACUUAGAAAAAAUAAAUGGAACUGCAAUUUUCUCGAGUUACCGUACUAUGGUGGUUAUAUUUUUCGCUUAUUGAUGAAAGCCAUACAGAAACACAAAGAUAUUUUAUUGAUAUAACAAAUUGUGGCGAAAGAACGGAUUCUGAAUGUGCGGAAUAUUUCAAUUCAUUGCCGGAAAAUAUUGCCAGAUAGCACGUGAUCCACUCUGUAGCCAGUACUCGUUAAAAGACUACGAUUGCGCAUAUGGACAGCAUUCUUGCCCAUCAGUAACGACAUGUACAACGAUAACAGGUGGUUAUGAAUGUAGUUGUGGAACUGGCUAUGAAUACGACGGGAGUAAUUGCACAGAUAUAAAUGAGUGCGAUACAGGGGAACACAGAUGUUCGAGGCAAAAACGAUGCACAAAUAUACAAGGAGGCUACAAAUGUUGUAUCGAUACCAACUGUAAUAACGAAGAAGUUAUAGAUUAAUCUACUCAUAGCUUGGAAAUAUUAUUUUUAUAUUAGUAUUUUAUAUUUUUUAACUUUAUUCUGAAUGUCUAUAAUUAUAGCUGUUUCUUAUUAAUAAUUUUUUCUUGAACCAAAUAGGUAUCAAUGGCGUUGUAUGUGUAACUAGUUUUUAUCUUAUAUUGGCCUCAACUAUAUUUUUGUGGUGAAUAAUAUAAUAUGAGCAUAUACUUACAUUUUUGCAAAAUUUCAUGCGUCAGUGUCUUCACCAACCACAGGCAUAGGUAUCUAUCGCUUCAUCUUUCCAAAACAGACGAUUCUAUUACGACUGUCUCGCUUUGAUAGUCACACGAGUCACACAGCCUAUAAGUGUUGCUUUCAUAACAUGCUCAGGGUUGACGUUACUAUGCUUUAACGUAGAACACCUAAAGAUGCUUCUCUCACCUAUUAGUAUGUCAUAAUUAUUUAAUUCGCCGGAAAAUAAACAAUAAAUAUGAGUUUUGAUUUUUCAUGAGAUAAUGGUCACAUCUUAUCUUCGAACAAGACUCCGGGCAAGCAGCUACUGAUAUACGUAAUGAACUUCUAAACCCUUGAAGUUUGGCAAUCGGAAUAAACUGCUGUUCAGUUAUUCUUAUUCAAAAUGUUUACCUUCCGUGAUAUAAAAGAGUAUUCUCAUAUUCGUACAGAAAAUUCUUGUUUACCAAUUUUCAAUGUAGAGAAAUGUUACCCUCAAAUUGUUAUUGCUCCUCUAUUGAUAUUUGUUAUCAUAUUGUGCAAAUGAGUGACCAUUCACAAUCGAACAGUUGUGUUCCGUCUAUGAAUAUCAAUUAUUAUUGCCUUUAGCGACAAAAUAGUAUAUGGGUACUAUAUAAUUAUUAUAUUGUGUGAUAGUGCUCUUUGCCUCACAAAGGCAAACGUUAUAAUGUGAUUAUAUUUAGGAACAUUCAAAAGCAUUUAACCUGCAAUGUACGUCGCUCGU